rnacentral:tRNA from 3 species
GGGUGUGUAGCUCAGUGGGAGAGCGCUUCCUUGACACGGAAGAGGUCGAAAGUUCAAUCCUUUCCACACCCACCA